rnacentral:rRNA from 1 species
GACGAGGGAUCCUAGCGUUGUUCGGAAUCAUUGGGCGUAAAGCGGGUGCAGGUGGCUAUGUAAGUCAGGUGUGAAAGCCUAGGGCUCAACCCUAGAAGUGCAUUUGAUACUGCGUAGCUUGAGUGGUAGAGAGGAUAGUAGAAUUCUUGGUGUAGUGGUGAAAUACGUAGAUAUCAAGAGGAAUACCGGAGGCGAAGGCGGCUAUCUGGCUACACACUGACACUCAGACCCGAAGGUGCGGGGAUCAAACAGG